GUUGCGUAUCCAAGGUGCAAGAAGUCAUCGAGAGCCGUUGUUAGCUGGAAGGGUGUAUUUGGUGUGGGAAACGGCGAGCAGAUACUCCGUAAUCCCCGUGUCAGCUCACAUCCUUCUCCCAUCCCGCGUGGGCACCGCACCAAACAAACAGGAGCCUGGUUACCGUCACCCUGGCCCUUCCCCUGCCCUCCAGGAGGAGCAGGCUGCGUUUGGGACGUGUCUCCCUGUCCGUGCCAUCAGGAGAGCUCCGCACGGACCCACACACCCCUCCCAGCCACAGGUGGCAUGGGAAGGCUGGAGCGAUGCGGAGCAGGAGCUGUCACCGAGCCCCUCGCUGCUGGCCACCAGCAUCACCGGCUCUGCUGGAAUUAAUCCCCUGCUUCCCCCAAAACUGUGGACCCACAGAGCAGAGGCCAAGCUGACAGCAUCCCCGGACCAGUGCCUGCUUGAAGAUUCAGCUCAGACACAGAGAGAAAUAUCUGCCUGCCAUCCACCUGGGUCCCGGGGGUGUCUGCAUCGCUGGCACUUGGCACGGGGAUCACCGGGUGCAUGUCUGCAGCACCGUCAUAUCCCCAAGCGGUGGUGGGGUCCCAGAGGGGGUGAGGACUGGGGGAGCAGGACCCCCCAUGAUGUCAGCCCCCAUUUGUAGGGGAGGCACAGCCCGUGUGAGCCCCAGGGCACCUGUACUGCCCUCAGAUCCUCACCCCGACAGCCUGGGGGAUGCCACGUCCCAGGGGACGGGGCUGGGGCAGGACCGACCCAUGUCCCUGCCCCGUGUCCCAUCCUCACCGUCUGGCAGAGCAGCAGGAGGGGGCCCUGGCUGCUUUCCUCCCGGCUCCCUGGGGCCGGUGACUGAUGGGUGCAUUAGGCUGGAGAGGGAGCAGGUGACAGCAGGGCAGCCCGCAGCCAGCCGCGGCUCGGUGACACGAGACAGGGAACACUGAUUACUUUGCCAGCCCCAGAGCAGACACCUAAUAACAAGGCGGCGAGGGAGCAGGGACGGCAAGGAUAAAUAGCUCGGAGGCUGCAGGGCUUCUCCGUGCCAUCGCAGCCCCCGUGCGCGGGGGCGUAUCGCCACGAACUUUGCUUCUGCUUGAUCCUUGUCUGCGUGCAGGCUGCGUGCGUGUGCCUGCCCGCGCGGCGCUCGGUGCAGCAGGUCCGGCCACUGAGUCAGCCGGGCAGGAAGGGCAAGGCACCGUGUUAACCUCCUCCCCUCCAGCAGCAGCUCCCUGGGAAGCGAGGGGUUUGCUCGGGAGGUGCCAAGGCAGGGCAGGAGGCCUGCAGAGCCCUCGUGGCCUCGUACACGUGCGCGGUGCCCCACGCGUGGGGCUGUGCGUGGGACACGUGGCAGCGGCGGGCAGGGGUGGCCUGAGGGGUGGCACAGCUUGUCCUCCUCCCCCAGGUCUCUCCAUGCACCCUUCAGGUCUGCACCACCACCAGCGGGUGUCUCAGGAACGGGUCGGUGUUCCCUCUGACCCCCCUGCAGCCACACAGCCUCUUGGAGCUCUCCUGGGAUCAUGUUUAUUGUAAUUUCAUUUUGGGGUGCUCUUUAAGGAGUUAAAAGAGAUGAAGGAAGAAGAGGCAAAAAAAUAAAGGAUUGCCAGGACCAAGAGGGAGAGUAUCU
rnacentral:lncRNA from 1 species